rnacentral:rRNA from 2 species
UCCGUAGGUGAACCUGCGGAGGGAUCAUUACUGAGUUACCGCUCUAUAACCCUUUGUGAACAUACCUAACCGUUGCUUCGGCGGGCAGGGGAAGCCUCUCGCGGGCCUCCCCUCCCGGCGCCGGCCCCCACCACGGGGACGGGGCGCCCGCCGGAGGAAACCAAACUCUAUUUACACGACGUCUCUUCUGAGUGGCACAAGCAAAUAAUUAAAACUUUUAACAACGGAUCUCUUGGUUCUGGCAUCGAUGAAGAACGCAGCGAAAUGCGAUAAGUAAUGUGAAUUGCAGAAUUCAGUGAAUCAUCGAAUCUUUGAACGCACAUUGCGCUCGCCAGCAUUCUGGCGAGCAUGCCUGUUCGAGCGUCAUUUCAACCCUCAAGCACCGCUUGGUUUUGGGGCCCCACGGCACACGUGGGCCCUUAAAGGUAGUGGCGGACCCUCCCGGAGCCUCCUUUGCGUAGUAACUAACGUCUCGCACUGGGAUCCGGAGGGACUCUUGCCGUAAAACCCCCAAAUUUUUUACAGGUUGACCUCGGAUCAGGUAGGAAUACCCGCUGAACUUAAGCAUAUCAAUAAGCGGAGGAA